CUUGUGAUUAUUCAAGAUGUAUUGUAUUAACACUCUGUUCUUUUUAUUUUCCUUUUCUUCCUGGCACUGUAUUGUUAGAUUAUCCAGAAGAUCCAGUGUGAUCGAAUACUGAGCAGCUGAGCAGAACCCUAUGGAGUAUUCUCCUUUCACUGGGCAGAUAUAGUGGAAGGGGGUCACAUGAUAGAGGAACUUACCGUUUGGGUCACACAUCAAGG